UUUUAUAAUAAACAAUAAGGACUGCAAUGUUAAUAACUAAUCAAUCAAAUUUUAAACCGUUUGAAACACUUUUUCAAAUCAGAAAAGGACAAAGUUGGGAUAGCUGGAUCCGGGUUUCCGACUUUAAUUGAUUUUUUUUUUCGAUCCGAUGACCAAGUCAUUCAUCUUGUGAGUCGUGACAACUGACAACCGCAGCCACUUUUGACUAUAUUAGGUAGGGUUGGCAAUUUAAGGGUUUGGGUCGGCUUUGCCAAGCCCAAGACCAGACCCAUAUAAUGUCAAAUAAGUUCAGGUCCUCUCAAAGUUCAUCUAAGUUGAGCGGGCUUUAGACGGACCGGGUCUUGACUGGUUUGGGCCUAGGGAUGGCAAUGGGCACCGCCCGCAGCGGGUUUGCCAUUACCAAACCCAAACCCGCACAAAAUUUGAAUUACCAAACCCACCCGCAACCCGCAGCGGGUUUUAAUUUUUUUAAAAAAACCCACCCGCAGCGGGUUUUAACAAUUACCAAACCCGCAAUGGUAUCCGGCGGAUUUUUUGCGGGUUUCCGUAUUUAAAAUCACAAAUGUUUAAUAUAUAAAUUUAUAAUAAUAACCUCAAAUUUCAUAUAACAUACUCAAUUUUAUAUUUAAACAAUGUAAAUGAAAAAUUAAAAUUUCCACAUCAAUUCAACACAAAUUCUCAAAUUUAAGUAUAAAUUAUACAAAUCCAUUUAAAAAACACAAACUAGUAUCUAAAAAUAAUAAUUACAUUUCAUAUUAUCAUUUAAAACAAGCUCCAAGAGAAGAUAUUCAUUUCAUUCACCACCAUAAGCACACAUCCAACACAAUUCCUAUAAUAAUAAUUAAGAUUAAUAUUUUCAAACACUAAUUCGAAGGGAAAUGCCUUUAAUUUUCUUUAGGUUAUGACUUUAGAAUAAGAGAUGGGUCACAUACACACAUAUACAACUUUGAGUCUUUAGCUAUUUGGUAAUUUGAUUAAUGACAUUAUUUUCUUUAUACAUUUUUAUAUUAAAAUUAAAUUAAAAAUAUUUGGAAAAAAUAUUGCGGGUUUGGUGGAUAUCCAUGCGGGUAUCCACCGGGUAUAAGGUUAAUACCAAACCCACCCGCAUCCAUGUGCGGGUUUUAAUUUAUAAUACUAAACCCGCCCGCAACGGAUAAAAUUACCCGCAACGGGCGGAUUUUGGCGGGUGGGUUUGGGCGGGUUUGCGGGUUUGCGGGUACAAUUGCCAUCCCUAUUUGGGCCGGGCCUCGGGCUAAGCCCGGACUUUUACGAAAUUUUAAUUUUUUUUAAAAAAAUAAAAUUAUAAAUUUUCAAAACAUAAUUAACUAAUACAUAAUACUACAAUAGGCUAAAAACUUAAAUAUAAUUCUCUAAUACAUUAUUAGCCAACACAAAAUAUAAAAAUACUAACAAUACAAGUACCGUAUACAACAUACAAAUCAACCACAUAAUGUUACAAUAGACUAAAAAAUUUAAAAAUAAUUCUCCAAUACAUAAUUAGGCAACAUAAAAUAAAUCAUUAACCAACAGCACAAUAUUAUUCAACAUUUUAUACAUUAACCACAAUAUUUUUCAUAGCUCAAAAUCAUAAUAUUCUUCACAAUAUUCUUCAACGGAUUAACCAAUUACAUAUAUUUAUACCUUGCUGUGAACUCAUAUUACAUAAUCUAACAUUCUGGUGAUGUCCUCAUAUUACAUAAUAUUGUAUUGAUAAUACAAUAAAAAAAAGUUUGAAGCUUAAUUGAGGAGGAGUAACUGACCGGAGUUGGAUGGUUUGCUACCUCGCUACUGGUGUGCUUUGAAUUCGCGUACUACAGACUGCAAAUUGCUGCUGCUGCCUCGCUCGAGUUCAAGUGUUUGCUGCAGCAUCGCGCGGCUGUGCUGGUGGGUUGGGGUUGCUGCUGCGUCGCGUGAGAGAUGCUGGGUGGCUGGAGCUGGACGGUGGGUUGCGCGGGAUGGCGGGAGAUGCUCGCCGCUGCUGCUGGCUGAGUCGUGGCCACUGGAGUGCUGGUGGUGGAUGCUCGUCGCUCACUGCUGGAUGCUGUUGGCCCCGCUGUUGACUGCCGGCGGCGAGAACAGUGAGAAGUUGAGGUGACGGUGAGUGAGGGAGGGAGGGAGGGAGGAAACGAAGGAUUUAGGGAUUUUGACUUUGAGUUGGGUUUUGUUUAAAACUAACGAAUUAUUUUGUUUGAUUCACUUUUUUUUUUCAGCUUUUUUUAAUUUAAAUUUAUGAUAUAUUAUAAAUAUUUUUCUUUAAAAAA
rnacentral:lncRNA from 1 species